CUUGGAAUUAGUUGGAAGACUUGGAGUUGCUGGAAGACCUGGAGUCGUUGGAAGACAUUGGCGCCAUUGGAAACCCUGGACAUUGGAGACAUUGCACAGGAUGUUGGAGACAUUGGAAGCCUUAGAUUUUGAGGACAUUCGUUAUUCUGAACAUUGGAGACUUUGGAGACCCUGAGUGUUGGAAUUAGUGGAUAUUGGAAGCCGCGAAUACUAGAAGCCCGAAACACUAGAGACAUUGCAAAUCCUGUACCUUGAAAGCCCUAAACAUUGGAAGAUAUGAACAAUAGAAGAUCUAGACAUUUAGAAAUUUCAAAAUCAUAAGCCUUGGAUAUUGGGAGACACUGGAAAACCUGUAUAUUGAUACAUUCAUGCUAAAAGACAUAGAAUUUGGAAGAUAUAAUUUUCAUGAUGCUGGAAGUCAAGAAUGUUGGCAGCCCUGAACCUUAGGACAUCCGAAGAGAUAAGGACAUAAAGAGACCCACCCAUUCAGACAUCGGGGUUGUUGAAAUAUCUGAAUGUUAGAAGAUCAGGUCCUUAGAGAUAUUGAAAGACUUGGACAUUGGAGGAACUUGUGAUGACAAGACAUUAUAAAAUCAGGCUCCAGGAGACACUAAAAGUUAUAGGAACUGAAUGAUCUAUGUGCUGGAAGACAUGGGAAGAGCUAGACUUGGACACAAUAAAAUACGUGGACUCUAGAAGACCUGUAUCUAGGACACAUUGGAGGAUUGGGAACAUAGAAACACUGGAAGUUAGAACUCUAGACUCUGAAAGACAAGACCUGGAACUUGAAGACUGAUUUUUGGAGAUAUUAGCAGACCUAGACUUUUAAUGUCCCCAAUAGUGAGGAGAUUAGAAAACACUGGCCUUGGAGAUGCUGCAGGCCAGAGAGUAGAAGACACAGAUAUUGUAAAAUUUAGAAGAUCUGGCAAUUGGAGAUGUUAGAAGCUAUGGAGCCCAGAAGACCUGAUGCUAGUGACACUGAAGAAUUGAAAGACCUAGUCUUAGAGCUGUUGGAAAGCCAUGUUGAAAAAUAUUGGCAAUAUUGAAAGACUUUACUAUUAGGACCUGAUGUUACAGUAAAGGUCAUAAGGCUACUCUAACAGUCUUUAUGAUUAUGGCAUCUCUUUCACUAAACAGUAAAACACAGAGAAAGGACUUUUUAAGAUGACACAGAAGAAGUGGGGAAAUUCAAUUAAAAGUAGUUUCAGUGGGUUAGAAUCUACUUCAGAGUCUCAAUGAACAGGGCUUCUGGGUAUGUAUUGACUGACAGCAUGGGAAUGAGAAAUUAUCAAAGAUUAAGCAAUAUAAAGGCCAGGGGAACUACUUGGCUUUAGAUCAGGGGUCAGCAAAAGUCUUCUGUAAAGGAUCAAAUAAUAAAUAUAUAAAGUUGUGCAGAGGCCAUAUGAUUUCUGUUGCAACUACUCAACUCUGCCAUUGUAGUGCAAGCCAUAGACAAUAUGAGUAAACAAGUUGGGCCAGAUUUGGCCCAAGUGCCUUAGUUUGCCAGGCCCAGCUCUAGAUGCCAAAUCUGGGGUAUGGUAAACUUAAGUACAUUCCAGGCUAGCGUUCACAUGCAGAAGGGAUAGAGCAAUUUGAAGCCCAAUGACAAGUAAAGAUACCAUGUAUGUGAUGAUACUCAGGAGAUGAGGCUGGCGAGAACCUAAGAAUGGAGUUUAGAUCUCCGAUUGAUUGUUUCAGGAUUGUAACAAAGAGAUUUGUAUUCAGAGCCAAAAUUAAGUGAGUAGCAUUCAGGGCCCCAGCCCAAGGGGCUAAGAUUCAGUGAGGAUGCUCUAAUUCUGUAGAUUGGAAGCUUAAGAAGAAAACUAACAAAGAAACUCACCUCUACAGACUAGGGUUAUCCUGCCAAGACUAAGCACCACUCACGCAGAGAGAGAGUCCCCAGCCCAGGACAGACAAGAAGUCAGUGGCAAAGCCCUCCCUCCAAGUCCCAUGUUCUUGUCCUUAGGGCACUCAUCACCCCACUGCCAAGUAAUCAAGAGCCAACUCUAGGUGUCUGCAAUGAUGGGUUAAUCAUACCUUUGGCUUUAUAUAGGAAGUAUAACAUCUCAAGCACAUGAUAUUCAUAUUUAAUUGCUCAAUAUUUGCUAUUCAUGCAAUGAAAUGUACUCUUUAGCCUUUCAUCUGUUUUCUCUUUGAUUUUAUGGUUUCCAAGAACAUACACACUCUGGUCAUAGCACAUAAUACUUAUUUCUGAAUUCUUAGAAAAAUAACCAUAACACACUGAUAUCAAAGGCCAUUAAAAGGUAAUAAAACUAUGUAAAGUUCAGUAGUCAAUGCAUUUCACAGCACAAACACAGUGCACACACUCUUUAGACUAUAUACGCUGUAGAACCUUAUUAGCAUUCAGGUGCCGGCAGCUACAUAAUCCAAAUGUGGAGUUUAAAGAGCCUUCUUUGCAUUUUGAUCUUAAAAGAUUUUAGGCAAACAAAAGGCUCUUUUUAAAUGUAAUGCCAGUUUUCUAAUAUUUUCUACAAAUUUCAGCAACCUGGGCUGUCCUUUCUCUCCAGCUCCUUUUGCUUUUUUUCCCCUUUGCUCCAGUUGUUAAAUAUGUCUAUAGAAAAGGAAAUUUCCAUGCACUUCAUGAUAUGGAACACAAGCAUUUCCCUGAACCAUUUGACAAC